UGAAGGAGUGGCUCCGCUUGCUGGGCCACCUCGUUACCGGAUGCCGGAAGCUCCCCGCGCCAGCGCUGCUUGGGCAAACUACGUGGUCGCGCUGUUGAUGCAGGUCAAGGCCAUGUUCUCGUAGACCUCCUGGCCGCCGCCGCUGCUUGGUUAUUGGCAGCAAUCGAUUUGGUUGGUUGCCUUGUUGAUCAAUCGGAGAAGGAGGUGAAGGUCGCCGGCGUAUCGCUAUCUUUCCUAUUUUUAUCAUCACGGCCCUACACGGGCUCGACGGCGACGCCAUCCGCCGCGGGCGACGUCACCGACGGUGACCAUGAACUGUGUCGCAUCGGGGUUGUCCGCCACCGCGUGGCUGAAUUGAAACCUAACGACGAAGCCGCCGGACACGAA
rnacentral:lncRNA from 1 species